rnacentral:rRNA from 1 species
AGAGUUUGAUCAUGGCUCAGAACGAACGCUGACGGCAUGCCUAACACAUGCAAGUCGAACGGGAUCCGAGCUUCGGUUCGGUGAGAGUGGCGAACGGGUGAGUAACGCGUGGGAACCUGCCCAGAGGUACGGAAUAACAGUUGGAAACGACUGCUAAUACCGUAUGAGCCCGAGAGGGGAAAGAUUUAUCGCCUUUGGAGGGGCCCGCGUCAGAUUAGGUAGUUGGUGGGGUAAAGGCCUACCAAGCCUACGAUCUGUAGCUGGUCUUAGAGGAUGAUCAGCCACACUGGGACUGAGAUACGGCCCAGACUCCUACGGGAGGCAGCAGUGGGGAAUAUUGGACAAUGGGGGCAACCCUGAUCCAGCAAUGCCGCGUGAGUGAUGAAGGCCUUCGGGUUGUAAAGCUCUUUUGCCAGGGACGAUGAUGACGGUACCUGGAGAAUAAGCCCCGGCUAACUUCGUGCCAGCAGCCGCGGUAAUACGAAGGGGGCUAGCGUUGUUCGGAAUUACUGGGCGUAAAGGGCGCGUAGGCGGUUUGAUUAGUCAGAUGUGAAAUUCCCGGGCUUAACCUGGGCGCUGCAUUUGAUACUGUCAGGCUUGAAUUCAGGAGAGGAUAGCGGAAUUCCCAGUGUAGAGGUGAAAUUCGUAGAUAUUGGGAAGAACACCGGUGGCGAAGGCGGCUAUCUGGACUGACAUUGACGCUGAGGCGCGAAAGCGUGGGGAGCAAACAGGAUUAGAUACCCUAGUAGUCC